CAAUGGAUGGGCUCCACCAGCUGGAUCUCUACUCCGAACCUCUUCCAGACUUCAUCAAUGAUCGAGCUUCUCCAGCAGCGGGACUUCUACAAUAAGAAAUCUCCAUUUGAGCUUCCACGACAACCGAUCUUCAUCCGAGCUUCUAUAAUAAGCGGACUCCUUUCAGACUCCUACAAAAGUUGGAGUACAGUAGAAUUGAAUCUCGAACUCCUCCAAUGUUCGACCUUCCAUAGUGUCCUCAAGACUCCUCCA
rnacentral:lncRNA from 1 species